rnacentral:rRNA from 1 species
UACAGAGGAUGCAAGCGUUUAUCCGGAAUGAUGGGCGUAAAGCGUCUGUAGGUGGCUUUUUAAGUCCGCCGUCAAAUCCCAGGGCUCAACUCUGGACAGGCGGUGGAAACUACCAAGCUUGAGUACGGUAGGGGCAGAGGGAAUUUCCGGUGGAGCGGCUGAAAUGCGUAGAGAUCGGAAAGAACACCAACGGCGAAAGCGACUCUGCUGGGCCGACACUGACACUGAGAGACGAAAGCUAGGGGAGCGAAUGGG